rnacentral:rRNA from 1 species
UACGUAGGGUGCGAGCGUUGCCCGGAUUUAUUGGGCGUAAAGGGUGCGUAGGCGGCGUGGCAAGUCUGAUGUGAAAUCCCGGGGCUCAACCCCGGAACUGCAUUGGAUACUGCCAUGCUAGAGUACUGGAGAGGAGAUUGGAAUUUACGGUGUAGCAGUGAAAUGCGUAGAUAUCGUAAGGAAGACCAGUGGCGAAGGCGAAUCUCUGGACAGUUACUGACGCUGAGGCACGAAGGCCAGGGGAGCAAACGGG